UUCUCUGAUUUUGUUUGA
rnacentral:miRNA from 1 species